UGCUCCCCGCCCGGCCCUGCUCUGUGGCUGUCUGCGUCCUUCCCCCACCCCCGACCCCUUCCUCCCUCUCUCUUUUGCUUGCUUGCUCGUUCGCUAGCUCUCAGACCAGGCGAAGCAGCUUCGCAGGAAAAUCCCAGAAACCUUUGCAAAAAGCUGACAAUGAAAUUUAAGAAGUUCUUCGAUUUCGGCGCCAUUUUCGAGUGGAGCGAGAGCGACUGACCGUCUCCUGAAGUGACAAGACGCCUCUUUGUAAUCUCUUUUCGGCAACCAAGGACGUUUUUCGCCAUUAAUCCCAAAAGUCACUGUAAAAGUUGUUUGUAAAUAGGAUAGCCAAAACAAGAUGGAAUUUAGAGACACUUAAUUGUAUGUCCCAAUUGAGGGAGUGGAGUUAUUAUAUUGAUAACUGUGUUCACCGUGACAUAAGUAGUGUAUUUGGUAACACUGGAUCUCCGUCUGGUGUGAUGAGUUUUGUUCUUAGUCCGAUUAAAUACUCUGCUCGUUUCACUAACUAAUAAAUAGGACACAACAUCCAUUGUACUGGUUCUGAAAAACCGACGUGAUUUUUAAAUGAACCAGAACACUUAGCAGACUUGGAUACUUUUAAGUGUCCAUUACCGUACUGAAAUGUAUUUUAGUUUUCAAAACCAUUAGAGUUUGUGCUGGUUUUGUUGUUUUAACUUUUAGGUUUGUGAUUGAAGUUACAGAGUAGUUUCUUCUCUGCUUAAUUGACUAUUUCGCUUAAAGGAGGGGGAGUGGGUGCCAUGUAACUUAUUGCUAUGUGUGUCCAUUUUAAAAAGGAAAAGGUGGUAUCUAAUGAGUUAAUCAUUAAAGAGUAUGCACUGUGCCGGCCAUUUCAGGACAUGAAAGAGUUUCUGUGGAACUGCUUGAGACAGGAAGGAGUGAAUUGACAUCAAGUAUUUAAACUUUUUUUGAUUUAUGGUUUGAUAGGUGACAUUGAAAGGUAUAAAUUAUUUAUAAAUAAGUUUGAGUAACCAGUUUCAUAUGUAAACAUCCAGAUAUUUUAUUUAGGGGCAGUUAUCUCUCAUACUUUGGUACCUUUAAGAAGAGCUCAAAGCAGGGUGUGUGCUGCAAGAAUGAGGCACUGGGAGUUAAAGAGGACAUCGGAUGCUCGUGUGGAUGAAUCUAUAUUUCCCAGCUCUCUUACAUGUUAGAAUCAGCUGAAGCUGCCAGAGACAUUUUGGUUAUCUCCUUUAAGUCAAUAAAUGAAAAGUUGUGUGUUCCCCCCCCCCCACGGGGACAUUA